CUGCCCUACGGGACGCAGCAGUGGGGAAUUUUGGACAAUGGGCGCAAGCCUGAUCCAGCUAUUCCGCGUGUGGGAUGAAGGCCCUCGGGUUGUAAACCACUUUUGUAGAGAACGAAAAGACACCUUCGAAUAAAGGGUGUUGCUGACGGUACUCUAAGAAUAAGCACCGGCUAACUACGUGCCAGCAGGCGCGGUAAUACGUAGGGUGCGAGCGUUAAUCGGAAUUACUGGGCGUAAAGGGUGCGCAGGCGGAUGAGUAAGACAGAUGUGAAAUCCCCGAGCUUAACCUGGG
rnacentral:rRNA from 1 species